UGCUACAGGCAGGUCAGUGACAAGCUGUAGGAAGGAUUGUCCUGAAAGGAGAAGGGAGGCACUGAGUCAUUUGCUUUUGCAGCAGGCAGACUGUGAGAGGAAAGCCCCUUUUCACACCAGCUCUGACCUGUGAGAGCACUUUCUUGGAGAGACUGAACACGAGCUCCUCAGAGCAGCCGUGAGAGUGGAAGGGGAACUGCAGCGUGAUGUGGCGACAGAUGACUUGUGGUGAUUGCACCAGGCACUUAAAAUCUCAGCUGCUUUGGACUGCAGAAUGUGCAUCCCCAAGAGGCUCAGGCAUGUUGGCUGUUCAGGUAACAGUCCCCAGAUGUCCCCAGCCUGCAGGCUGAUGGAAUACUUUCUGCACUACUGAAAAACCUCUGCCAACCUCCUCUUGGGGACAGGACGGUGAACUUUGUGUCUUCCAGCUCAUCUGCAAGCCGUGAACAACGCUUCCUUGAUUAAAGCCAGGGGACUUCUGCAAUUUUGGUCUGGGAUUUAGCAGCAUUAUUCAUUCAGAUGUUUCCUGGGGCUCAUAAAUAUGCAAGGAGGAGGUGUCAUCCAGGCCAGUCCCCUCAAAGCCAAACUCCUGCAGACCAGGCCGUGGAGAAGUAUUUCCAAAUGAAAUGUGGCCUAAAUGAAGGAAUUAAGGGUUUUUAAUGUAUUUACCCGUGGCCUGGACAGCAAACCCCUCCGCUGGUUCCUGCCGGAGCUCCCAGUACACGGAGUAGAUGAGCUUUGAAGAGCCUUCAGCAGCACAGCUGGUAAAGAGCAGCUUCAAGCACCAAAAACCAGUAAGAGUAGGACAAAAUGUUGAUUUGCAUGACCACACACAAAUUUUUGAGUCCUGACACUUUAAUUUUUUUUUUCCCAAAGUAGAAGUGAAAAGAGACUCCUUUAUGUUACCAUCAACAUUAUUGAAUGGAUAAACCCAAACCAACUGGACACAUAUUCGCCUUCCAAACCCUCUGCCUUUGGCUGCCCUGCGCGUUCCGUGCCCACCCCAG